UCAAACCAAAGACUGGCGACCGGCGCACGGGUGAGUAACACGUAUCCAACCUGCCUCAUACCCGGGGAUAGCCUUUCGAAAGAAAGAUUAAUAUCCGAUAGCAUAUAUUUCCCGCAUGGGUUUUAUAUUAAAGAAAUUCGGUAUGAGAUGGGGAUGCGUUCCAUUAGUUUGUUGGGGGGGUAACGGCCCACCAAGACUACGAUGGAUAGGGGUUCUGAGAGGAAGGUCCCCCACAUUGGAACUGAGACACGGUCCAA
rnacentral:rRNA from 1 species